rnacentral:rRNA from 1 species
CCUUAGUAGCGGCGAGUGAAGCGGCAAAAGCUCAAAUUUGAAAUCUGGCUCUUUCAGAGUCCGAGUUGUAAUUUGAAGAAGGUAUCUUUGGGCCUGGCUCUUGUCUAUGUUUCUUGGAACAGAACGUCACAGAGGGUGAGAAUCCCGUGCGAUGAGAUGACCCAGGUCCGUGUAAAGUUCCUUCGACGAGUCGAGUUGUUUGGGAAUGCAGCUCUAAGUGGGUGGUAAAUUCCAUCUAAAGCUAAAUAUUGGCGAGAGACCGAUAGCGAACAAGUACAGUGAUGGAAAGAUGAAAAGAACUUUGAAAAGAGAGUGAAAAAGUACGUGAAAUUGUUGAAAGGGAAGGGCUUGAGAUCAGACUUGGCAUUUUGCAUGUUGCUUCUUCGGGGGCGGCCUCUGCGGUUUGUCGGGCCAGCAUCAGUUUGGGCGGCAGGACAAUCGCGUGGGAAUGUGGCACGGCCUCGGCUGUGUGUUAUAGCCCGCGUGGAUACUGCCAGCCUAGACUGAGGACUGCGGUUUAUACCUAGGAUGUUGGCAUAAUGAUCUUAAGUCGCCCGUCUUGAACCCGGGAACCAA